rnacentral:rRNA from 1 species
AGUCGACGAUGAAGCUGGAGCUUGCUCUGGUGGAUUAUUGGCGAACGGGUGAGUAACACGUGAGUAACCUGCCCUUGACUCUGGAAUAAGCGUUGGAAACGACGUCUAAUACUGGAUACGAGCUUCAGCCGCAUGGCUAGGAGCUGGAAAGAAUUUCGGUCAAGGAUGGACUCUCGGCCUAUCACGUAGUUGGUGAGGUAAUGGCUCACCAAGCCUACGACGGGUAGCCGGCCUGAGAGGGUGACCGGCCACACUGGAACUGAGACACGGUCCGGACUCCUACGGGAGGCAGCAAUGGGGAAUAUUGCACAAUGGGCGCAAGCCUGAUGCAGCAACGCCGCGUGAGGGACGACGGCCUUCGGGUUGUAAACCUCUUUUAGUAGGGAAGAAGCGAUGUGCUUGUCACAUCAUGACGGUACCUGCAGAAAAAGCACCGGCUAACUACGUGCCAUCAGCCGCGGUAAUACGUAUGGUGCAAGCGUUAUCCGGAAUUAUUGGGCGUAAAGAGCUCGUACGCGGUUUGUCGCGUCUGCUGUGAAAACUGGAGGCUCAACCUCCAGCCUGCAGUGAGUACGGGCAGACUAAAGUGCGGUAGGGGAGAUUGGAAUUCCUGGUGUAACGGUGGAAUGCCCAAAUCUCAGGAGGAACACCAAUGGCGAAAGCCGAUCUCUGGGCCGUAACUGACGCUGACGAGCGAAAGCAUGGGGAGCCACAGGAUUGAUACCCUGGUAGCCAUGCCUAAACGUUGGGACUACAUGUAGGGGCAUUCCCCGUUUCUGUGUCUCAACUAAGCAUUAGUUCCCGCCUGGGGAUAAGCCGCAGGCUAUACUCAAAGGAUUGAAGCGGCCGCCCAUCGGCGGAGCUGCGGAUUAAUUCGAUGCAUUCUAAA